rnacentral:rRNA from 1 species
CUCGUAGGUGGCUGGUCGCGUCUGCCGUGAAAGCCCGCAGCUUAACUGCGGGUCUGCGGUGGAUACGGGCCGGCUAGAGGUAGGUAGGGGCAAGUGGAAUUCCUGGUGUAGCGGUGAAAUGCGCAGAUAUCAGGAGGAACACCGGUGGCGAAGGCGGCUUGCUGGGCCUUACCUGACGCUGAGGAGCGAAAGCGUGGGGAGCGAACAGGAUUAGAUACCCUGGUAGUCCACGCUGUAAACGUUGGGCGCUAGGUGUGGGGAUCUUCCACGAUCUCCGUGCCGGAGCUAACGCAUUAAGCGCCCCGCCUGGGGAGUACGGCCGCAAGGCUAAA